rnacentral:misc_RNA from 1 species
AAUGCUUCACACAUCAAAGCCAUCAAUGAAGGUUAUCCAUUGAAAAAUCAAUUAAUCAAGGGAAAAAAAUAAGGGAAAAUGAAAAACUGCCUAAAUUCAUGUUAGUUUCCCCAAGUCCCUCAGAGCAGCGUCUUUCCUCGAUAUGACCUUAUACCAACUAUCAAUAAAAGUAUCCAGGAAGCUGUUCAUUAUGCCAAAAACUAAGUAUCCUAAGCCAACUAUCAAUAAGAGCUGAGAGAAG